GCUUGAGAAGGUGUCUGCGGCUUUCGACGGCGGAUCAGCUCCUUUAGCCGCCACAUGGGACAUGUGUCCGGAACAUCUUUUGCACAGAGUUGGACGGAAGCAAGGCCAUUGACAGUUCUUACAGAAGAUGCGACGUUUCCUGGCCAUCAGUGCUGCUCCCACUGGACUGAUCGGCGUCGUCGUCUUCGUUCUCGGACGCCGACGCGAGGGCUCCCGAAGAAGAAGACCUCUUCUGCCAGGCCGAGGAACUGUCUUCGGCGGAAGAGGAGGACGUUUCGCUGUAACCCGUGUCUCGACCUGCGCAGGUACUUGUACUUCCGUGACUUUCUGCAGCGUCCUGCGUCGGAAGAAGAAUCGCAGGUGAAGAGUCAGCGACGUUUCGAGUGGAGACCGUUCUACCGGGCAGGGCACUCUCUGUUCUACGGGUCGACAACAGUCUGCAGUCGACGGAUAACUGGGCUUCCUUUCUGUCAGCUUCUGUGCUGUUUGAUGUUUUCCCUACUUUCCCGAAUGAACUUAUGUGGACGUAGCUUUCUCUGAAGUCGGCCCAGGAAUUACGCUCAACUUGUCCCCCCAAUAUCACACUCCUUUCUGCUGCCCUCUCUCCUACAUGUGUGCUCACCGUUAAUAAGCUAUAUAGUUGCCUCAAUGUAUUAACACCAAAUUAGCAGAAAAUGAUAAAACUGUCGACCGCUG